UUUUAACAUAUGUUUCGGUUUUUACAUGGAUCGGGUAAAAAAUUGCCAAAAACUGCCCGAAAAUCCGUUUUUUUCCCGAUUUUCGGGUAAAAUCCGACAAAAUCGGGAAAUCGGAUAAGUCACGUGUCAAAAUCAUUCAAAAUGGUUCUUCUUGAUGAAACAAAGUUGUAUUACAAUUUUUAAGUUCUAAGGAUAAUCCUAACAGGAGUUAUUAUAUUUUCCCCAUUAUAAGGAUUUCAUAGAGAUUCUAGGGGUAGUUUCGAGUAAUGACCAAUAUCAAAGCCUCUGAAAGGUAUGGGACCUAAAAAAUUUAGCAUGCAGGUGUCUAAUAGAUAAAUGUUAAACUCAGUAAGUAUCAUAGCCAUAUAAGAAAGAAAUCAGGAGUUAUUAAAAAAGAACCGUCAGGGGGGGGGGCGGAAUCCGCACCCCCCACGGUCAUUUACGGCAGGAAAAAAAGUGUGCGCAUGCGCCAUUAUUUGUUAUCAAAUUUUCUGCCGCAAGCGAUUCAUAAUGGCCACCAUCGCAAGUGCUUCUAAUUUCCCUUAAAAACAAAUGUUUUUUGAGCCUCUGCGGUAGAGAUCAUCCCCUAAAAGGAUUUUAUUUUAGUAGAGCAGGCCUUGGACUAUACAAAAACUCUAGAUUCGACUACCCGAACACUUUCACUUUUGUUGGGAGGAGACAGAAAGAAUAGCAAUGUUUUGAUUAUAAAAUUUUAUAAGUUGGUGGAAAAUGAAGAUAUUUGCUUUCCAACGCAAAGUCAUGCUUUAAGAUAUGUUUUUCCUGAAAGCUGAUAGCCUGUUUUAUCAAAUAAAACCAGUGGUUUGUGGCUGCCACUUUUUUUCUGAAAGAAAUUGGUCCUCGGAAAUGACCUUUCACAAGACUUCAUAAAUCGGGCACCAGUCCCAAAUUGUUCUAUGAUACAAAACAUGUUGGCACGAUUUCAUUGAAGUAAUUUUGACCCAAUAAUUCACAAUUUCAAGCGUCAUUCAAACGUGAUUUGCAUGUGAAGAUUUGUUGACAGAAGCGGUUAAAAAAAUGAUGGAACAAUGAUGAAACAGAAGAUCUUGCUGAUUUGCUCGAUUACCACUUUUUGUUGGAUGCGUUUGAAAUAAGAAUAUAUUCGUGAAAUCCAGAUUAUGAAUUGAAAUAAAAAAUACUUGUAAUAGCCUAAUUUGUAAAGUAUUUUUAUAUAAUUCAGAUUGACUUUCGUGGUGAAAAAUCUCACAAUUAGGGAAUGGUCUAGGCUGAAAUGUCUGUGUAAAUGGUUAGCUUUUUCGUUUAACAUAUAUAUAGCUAUAUAACUGUACAAUUUUUUUCAUUUGCAAUCAUUUGCUAGUCUAACAACAACAACAAUAAUGAUAAAUAUUUAAAGUGUUUCUAGCCCAGAAAAUCACAAAAACCUAUUGUUAGUGGAUUAUUUCCAUUGGGGUCCACUGAGUCUGAGUGAAGCUAGCUUUCUCACAUUUACGUUUAGUUUUAGCAGGCUUCUAGAUAGAGAAAACUAAUCAAGACCAACCUUUAGCUAAGGUUACAGAUCAGAUGAAUUAUUUUUUUUUCCUUUUAAAAUUUAAUUUUAGUAGUAUAAUAUCGUUUGUUCUUUGUUUAUUAGCGUCUAUUUUACAUUUCUAAUA